rnacentral:rRNA from 1 species
AAUGAACGCUGGCGGCAUGCCUAACACAUGCAAGUCGAACGAAGGCUUCGGCCUUAGUGGCGCACGGGUGCGUAACGCGUGGGAAUCUGCCCUCAGGCUCGGAAUAACAGCGAGAAAUUGCUGCUAAUACCGGAUGAUAUCGCGAGAUCAAAGAUUUAUCGCCUGAGGAUGAGCCCGCGUAGGAUUAGCUAGUUGGUGUGGUAAAGGCGCACCAAGGCGACGAUCCUUAGCUGGUCUGAGAGGAUGGUCAGCCACACUGGGACUGAGACACGGCUCAGACUCCUACGGGAGGCAGCAGUGGGGAAUAUUGGACAAUGGGCGAAAGCCUGAUCCAGCAAUGCCGCGUGAGUGAUGAAGGCCUUAGGGUUGUAAAGCUCUUUUACCCGGGAUGAUAAUGACAGUACCGGGAGAAUAAGCUCCGGCUAACUCCGUGCCAGCCGCCGCAGUAA